rnacentral:antisense_RNA from 1 species
GGCGCUUGAGGCUUUUUGUCUCAUGACGUUUGGUUGGUUUGUUAGGUGUUGUGAGGCAGAAAGCAGAAAGCCCCGAAGUUAAUUCUCAUUAACCACGAGGCUUAAUCUGUAUGCCUAGACAACAUCAGAUUAGCCGCUUACCUGCCGAAAGGCAAGGAGAAGUAAG